UUCAAGUUGCAUUUUAGAUGCGAACGAAUGCACAUCGUUUUCGGUUAGUGGUCGUGCGAGCUAAGUUUCGUGAAACUUUCGAGAGCAUCGGUCACGGUGUGAUUGGAUCCGGUUGUGUGCCAGUUUGUGAGAUCCAUCGUGGUUGGACUCCCGCGGCCGCGACACCGGUGCUCGAACGAGUCCACUCGACGUUAUUGCGAGGCAACGAGCGCAGACAGAACCGUCCGGAGAUCAUCUGCAGCCGGCCGACGUUCGUUUCCGAGGUAUAAUAAUUAUACGACGCUGUGCAUUCUCAACCCCUUGAAACUAAUUCUAAGC